rnacentral:rRNA from 1 species
GAUGAACGCUGGCGGCGUGCCUAACACAUGCAAGUCGAGCGAGAAGCCAUAAAAGGACACUUCGGUAGAAUUAUAUGGCGGAAAGCGGCGGACGGGUGAGUAACGCGUGGGAAACCUGCCUUUCACAGAGGGAUAGCCGAAGGAAACUACGAUUAAUACCUCAUAAAGCAAAAGCCUCGCAUGAAGCGAUUGCCAAAGAAUAAUCGGUGAAAGAUGGUCCCGCGUCUGAUUAGUUAGUUGGUAAGGUAGCGGCUUACCAAGGCGACGAUCAGUAGCCGGCCUGAGAGGGUGAACGGCCACAUUGGAACUGAGACACGGUCCAGACUCCUACGGGAGGCAGCAGUGGGGGAUAUUGCACAAUGGGCGAAAGCCCUGAUGCAGCAACGCCGCGUGAAGGAAGAAGGCUUUCGAGUCGUA